GUUCCGCCCCUUAGUGCUGCAGCUAACGCAUUAAGCACUCCGCCUGGGGAGUACGGCCGCAAGGCUGAAACUCAAAGGAAUUGACGGGACCCGCACAAGCGGUGGAGCAUGUGGUUUAAUUCGAAGCAACGCGAAGAACCUUACCAGGUCUUGACAUCCCGCUGACCGGCCUAGAGAUAGGUCUUCCCCUUCGGGGGCAGCGGUGACAGGUGGUGCAUGGUUGUCGUCAGCUCGUGUCGUGAGAUGUUGGGUUAAGUCCCGCAACGAGCGCAACCCUUGAUCUUAGUUGCCAGCAUUUAGUUGGGCACUCUAAGGUGACUGCCGGUGACAAACCGGAGGAAGGUGGGGAUGACGUCAAAUCAUCAUGCCCCUUAUGACCUGGGCUACACACGUGCUACAAUGGAUGGUACAAAGGGCUGCAAGACCGCGAGGUUUAGCCAAUCCCAUAAAACCAUUCUCAGUUCGGAUUGCAGGCUGCAACUCGCCUGCAUGAAGCCGGAAUCGCUAGUAAUCGUGGAUCAGCAUGCCACGGUGAAUACGUUCCCGGGUCUUGUACACACCGCCCGUCACACCACGAGAGUUUGUAACACCCGAAGUCGGUGGGGUAACCCUUUUGGGAGCCAGCCGCCGAAGGUGGGACAGAUGAUUGGGGUGAAGUNGUAACAAGGUAACC
rnacentral:rRNA from 1 species